rnacentral:lncRNA from 1 species
UGAAAUUAGUGGAUUUGCUUGCGGUGCUGGAACAAUUUUGCUUCAGUUCCACUCCUACCGUACUGAGAGUCAUACCAGGUGUGAGCAGUGAGGAAAGCCAUCAUUGGGAAUCAGAGGCCAGUUUACCGGCCAAGGCAUCGAAGUGGGGUGGUUGAGAGCUUCGCGCCGUUUGCCAUUUUGUAUGUUUUGUUGAUUUCUGAUAAUAAUUGACAUCUCAAUUUCUCGCAAUUUUCUGAGCCAAAUUAGGCACACUUAGGUAGGCUUGAGAAUUGACAUUACUGUCCGUAAUAUGAGAAAUGAUAUUUGCAUAUUUUGUUUGGACCAAGCAGCUUUUAGUGUAUGCUUGUAGCGUGGAGGUGAGGUGUAAUAAUAGCACUUGGUCGGGUUGCCUUUGUCUCGAAGAAAAAGAAAUAAACUUGGUCGGGUUGCCCAAAUAUCAUAAGGUCUCCAAAGCGGAAAUUUGAGCAGUUCCGGUAGGUACUAGCAGAUCCGUGGCCGCUCUGUGCAGUAUAAAAUAUGAAUAAUUUUGCUUUGGGAAUGCUCUGUGCAGUAUAAAAUGUGAAUAAUUUUGCUUUGGGAAUACACGGGUAUACAACCUGCAAAUAUGAUACUCAGGUGCCAUCAAUCUCAGCUUCUAAUGAAAUGUUAC